UCCUGCUCGGCUCCAGAAAAAUGUCUUAUUGAGAUUCAAUUCCCAGCAGCACUUCAAUGGGAGCUGUAGUUUUGUGAGAUCCCAUCACAAUAGGAUCUUCGUCCAUGUCUAAGGCUCCUAGGCAUUCCAGUAAUACGAUACAGGCAUUUAUGGAUGAAAAAAACACAGUGUCUCACCUGGAGUGCAGAUUUGUCACUUGAGUGCAGUGGAGUAUCCUGGCAGGCUGCGUGCGGCCCGCAGAUUGUCCACCACUGCUCUAGGUCAUCACAUCCAUGUCUAAAUCUUAACAAUUCCCUCUGCAUAACAUCUCUAAGAUACAGCCUUUCCUUUCCAUCCACCAUCAUAGCUAAAACUCACAUCCAGGCUCUCAUCAUUCCACAUCUCAAUUACUGCACCAUCCUUUUGUUUGGCUUUGACAAAUGCAAUCUUGCUCUACUCAUAUCCAUUCAGAAUACUGCUGCAAAGAUAAUUUCCUAGCACUAUUGUUCUGAAAAUGUUUCCCCUUUCUGCUUCCCUCCACUGGCUCCCCCUUCUCUAGUGCAUCAGACAUAAGCUACUUGUCCUCAUGGGCGGCAUGGUGCAUAGGCUGGGGAAGGCUAUGCCUCCACAAACAGCCCGGCGUGGCUCUGCCCACCCUCCUCCCUGAAGCCCUGCUUGCCCUUCCCCCUUGGCCCCAGCCCAGGCAGGCUGCUCCUCUUCAGGGAAGUCUGCUGGGGCUAGGGCGGUUGAGACUUGGGGUGGCUCGGGCUGCCCAGCGCAGGGGGGCCCUGGGUGCUGGGGCUGCACCACCCGGCACUGGGGUGCAGUGGACUGGAGGGGGACUGGAGGCACUGGGGCUGCCUGCCCUGUGCUUGGGGGGAACAGGGAGGGGCAUGCCAUUCACCCACCCUGUGCUCGGGGGCUGGGGCGGGCCAUGUGCUUCCCAUCCGCCCUGCCCUCGGAGGCCGGGGGGGGCACAUGCCACCCACCCACCAUGCGCUCGGGGCAGGGGCUGCAUGCCGCCGACCCUGUGCUCGCGGGCCACUGCACACCACCCACCCAGCACUCUGGGACUGGGGUGGGAGGGGGGCUAGUGGCC